AUUGAACGCUGGCGGCAGGCCUAACACAUGCAAGUCGAGCGGAUGAAGGGAGCUUGCUCCUGGAUUCAGCGGCGGACGGGUGAGUAAUGCCUAGGAAUCUGCCUGGUAGUGGGGGAUAACGUCCGGAAACGGGCGCUAAUACCGCAUACGUCCUGAGGGAGAAAGUGGGGGAUCUUCGGACCUCACGCUAUCAGAUGGGCCUAGGUCGGAUUAGCUAGUUGGUGGGGUAAAGGCCUACCAAGGCGACGAUCCGUAACUGGUCUGAGAGGAUGAUCAGUCACACUGGAACUGAGACACGGUCCAGACUCCUACGGGAGGCAGCAGUGGGGAAUAUUGGACAAUGGGCGAAAGCCUGAUACAGCCAUGCCGCGUGUGUGAAGAAGGUCUUCGGAUUGUAAAGCACUUUAAGUUGGGAGGAAGGGCAGUAAGUUAAUACCUUGCUGUUUUGACGUUACCAACAGAAUAAGCACCGGCUAACUUCGUG
rnacentral:rRNA from 1 species